rnacentral:rRNA from 1 species
CGACCGAGACCCCAUGUCAGG